GAUGAAGAACGCAGCGAAAUGCGAUAAGUAAUGUGAAUUGCAGAAUUCAGUGAAUCAUCGAAUCUUUGAACGCACAUUGCGCCCGCCAGUAUUCUGGCGGGCAUGCCUGUCUGAGCGUCAUUUCAACCCUCAUGCCCCUAGGGCGUGGUGUUGGGGAUCGGCCAAAGCCCGCGAGGGACGGCCGGCUCAUAAAUCUAGUGGCGGACCCGUCGUGGCCUCCUCUGCGAAGUAGUGAUAUUCCGCAUCGGAGAGCGAUGAGCCCCUGCCGUUAAACCCCCAACUUUCCAAGGUUGACCUCAGAUCAGGUAGGAAUACCCGCUGAACUUAAGCAUAUCAAUAAGCGGAGGA
rnacentral:misc_RNA from 1 species